GAGUUUGAUCAUGGCUCAGAUUGAACGCUGGCGGCAGGCCUAACACAUGCAAGUCGAACGGUAACAGGAAGAAGCUUGCUUCUUUGCUGACGAGUGGCGGACGGGUGAGUAAUGUCUGGGAAACUGCCUGGUGGAGGGGGAUAACUACUGGAAACGGUAGCUAAUACCGCAUAACGUCGCAAGACCAAAGAGGGGGACCUUCGGGCCUCUUGCCAUCGGAUGUGCCCAGAUGGGAUUAGCUAGUAGGUGGGGUAACGGCUCACCAAGGCGACGAUCCCUAGCUGGUCUGAGAGGAUGACCAGCCACACUGGAACUGAGACACGGUCCAGACUCCUACGGGAGGCAGCAGUGGGGAAUAUUGCACAAUGGGCGCAAGCCUGAUGCAGCCAUGCCGCGUGUAUGAAGAAGGCCUUCGGGUUGUAAAGUACUUUCAGCGGGGAGGAAGGGAGUAAAGUUAAUACCUUUGCUCAUUGACGUUACCCGCAGAAGAAGCACCGGCUAACUCCGUGCCAGCAGCCGCGGUAAUACGGAGGGUGCAAGCGUUAAUCGGAAUUACUGGGUCGUAAAGCGCACGCAGGCGGUUUGUUAAGUCAGAUGUGAAAUCCCCGGGUCUCAACCGUGGGAACUGCUAUCUGAUACUGGCAAGCUUGAGUCUCGUAGAGAGGGGGUAGAAUUCCAGGUGUAGCGGUGAAAUGCGUAGAGAUCUGGAGGAAUACCGGUGGCGAAGGCGGCCCCCUGGACGAAGACUGACGCUCAGGUGCGAAAGCGUGGGGAGCAAACAGGAUUAGAUACCCUGGUAGUCCACGCCGUAAACGAUGUCGACUUGGAGGUUGUGCCCUUGAGGCGUGGCUUCCGGAGCUAACGCGUUAAGUCGACCGCCUGGGGAGUACGGCCGCAAGGUUAAAACUCAAAUGAAUUGACGGGGGCCCGCACAAGCGGUGGAGCAUGUGGUUUAAUUCGAUGCAACGCGAAGAACCUUACCUGGUCUUGACAUCCACAGAACUUUCCAGAGAUGGAUUGGUGCCUUCGGGAACUGUGAGACAGGUGCUGCAUGGCUGUCGUCAGCUCGUGUUGUGAAAUGUUGGGUUAAGUCCCGCAACGAGCGCAACCCUUAUCCUUUGUUGCCAGCGGUCCGGCCGGGAACUCAAAGGAGACUGCCAGUGAUAAACUGGAGGAAGGUGGGGAUGACGUCAAGUCAUCAUGGCCCUUACGACCAGGGCUACACACGUGCUACAAUGGCGCAUACAAAGAGAAGCGACCUCGCGAGAGCAAGCGGACCUCAUAAAGUGCGUCGUAGUCCGGAUUGGAGUCUGCAACUCGACUCCAUGAAGUCGGAAUCGCUAGUAAUCGUGGAUCAGAAUGCCACGGUGAAUACGUUCCCGGGCCUUGUACACACCGCCCGUCACACCAUGGGAGUGGGUUGCAAAAGAAGUAGGUAGCUUAACCUUCGGGAGGGCGCUUACCACUUUGUGAUUCAUGACUGGGGUGAAGUCGUAACAAGGUAACCGUAGGGGAACCUGCGGUUGGAUCACC
rnacentral:rRNA from 1 species